rnacentral:lncRNA from 1 species
UUAAUUAAAUAUUAUGAUUAUUAGUACAGACGGUGGCGUUCCGUUCUUGCGAUUUUACAGAGGGCGCAAGGCGCGGGGGAGGAUGACGCAGGUUCUCACCCUAAAUUCUCUUCGUUCAUUGACCCGACCUGACUUACCAGUCCGUCAACGAUGCUUCAAAACAACCCGCUUUCAGCAUUGGAAUCACAACUGGACUUUUCUGCUGCAGAAUCUCAAAUGCAAUGGCAAAUUCUCCUGCCUUUUCUCCGAUAACCGCAGAGAGGUAGGAAAUUUCGGUCGCUUUUAGGUUAACUAAGCCGUAUCUUGUAAAUUUCAUGUUUGGUUUCUGAGAAAAUUAGUGGAUGUGUCACUGUUUUAGCCGCUGGUUUGUUGCGUUGCAUAGUGUCUGUUGGUUCUAACUAGAAAUGAGGAAUCCAUAUAAUUUUAUGUUAUGGAAUACUUGAACUAUGAUACCUAGAACCACGUAAGGUCUUCUUCUUUGUGUUGUUUGUAAAUUUCAUGUUUGGUUUUGGAGAAAGUCAGUGGGUAUGUUACUGUUUUAGCUGGUGCUGUAUGAUUUUGAAUAGGGUUGUUGGUUUUAGGCUACUUGGGUGAAGUCGCAGUGUCAAAGAUUUAGUAGAAGAAAUCAAGAAAAAUGGUGUUAAAUUUCUUCUAGGUGAUGUUAUGGGAAGGUUCAGUGGGUAAGAUGAAGUGUAAAGUGUUUUUGAAGUAUGUGACUGAUUCAUCUCGAAACAAUCUAUGGGUUUCUCUAUUUGGACAUGGGGCUGUUCAAAAUUUCAAUGAGAUGUUAACUCGUGGUAUUUCAUUGGUGUUUUCUUGAAAAUAUCCAUGUGCAAAUUUGCAUGCUAGGUUUGUCAUAUUCCAUCAAGUUUAAGUUUUGAAAUUUUAUGAUUUUAGUUGCAAUGUUUGGAAAAAUUCAUAACUACUUGCCUUUUGUUUUGUAAUUGGCUACUGUGUCAAUGUUGAUUCUAGUCUUUGAGCUGGAAUAUGUA